UACGUAGGGGGCUAGCGUUGUCCGGAUUUAUUGGGCGUAAAGAGCGUGUAGGCGGCCAAGUAGGUCCGGUGUGAAAACUCGAGGCUUAACCUCGAGAUGUCAUCGGAAACCAUUUGGCUAGAGUCCGGAAGAGGAAAGUGGAAUUCCUGGUGUAGCGGUGAAAUGCGUAGAUAUCGGAAGGAACAUCAGUGGCGAAAGCGACUUCCUGGACCAAUACUGACGCUCAUGUGCGAAAGCGUGGGGAGCAAACAGG
rnacentral:rRNA from 1 species